rnacentral:rRNA from 1 species
UUACGGAGGGUCCGAGCGUUAAUCGGAAUUACUGGGCGUAAAGCGCGCGUAGGUGGAUGUAUAAGUCAGAUGUGAAAGCCCCGGGCUCAACCUAGGAACUGCAUUUGAAACUGUACGUCUAGAGUAUGGUAGAGGUGAGUGGAAUUUCAGGUGCAGCGGUGAAAUGCGUAGAGAUCUGAAGGAACAUCAGUGGCGAAGGCGACUCACUGGGCCAUUACUGACACUGAGGUGCGAAAGCGUGGGUAGCAAACAGGAUUAGAUACCCUAGUAGUCC